rnacentral:rRNA from 1 species
GAUGAACGCUGGCGGCGUGCCUAAUACAUGCAAGUCGAGCGAACGGACGAGAAGCUUGCUUCUCUGAUGUUAGCGGCGGACGGGUGAGUAACACGUGGAUAACCUACCUAUAAGACUGGGAUAACUUCGGGAAACCGGAGCUAAUACCGGAUGAUAUUUUGAACCGCAUGUUUCAAAAGUGAAAGACGGUCUUGCUGUCACUUAUAGAUGUAUCCGCGCUGCAUUAGCUAGUUGGUAAGGUAACGGCUUACCAAGGCAACGAUGCAUAGCCGACCUGAGAGGGUGAUCGGCCACACUGGAACUGAGACACGGUCCAGACUCCUACGGGAGGCAGCAGUAGGGAAUCUUCCGCAAUGGGCGAAAGCCUGACGGAGCAACGCCGCGUGAGUGAUGAAGGUCUUCGGAUCGUAAAACUCUGUUAUUAGGGAAGAACAUAUGUGUAAGUAACUGUGCACAUCUUGACGGUACCUAAUCAGAAAGCCACGGCUAACUACGUG